AGUGCUGUGUCUUCAAAGCCGAGAGGAUGAUGGAAACAUCUUGGCGAGGGAGCCCACCAUCAUGGGACACUCAUCUUCAGGAAGCUCAUAAACCUGUCACACAGGUCAAGGACAUCAUAAUUUGGAAUAAGGGAAUAAAUUAAUGAAUGAAAGCCAGGUUGGAGAAGUUUAGCUAAAGCAAGACUGACCCAACAGGAUUGAAAGCGAACUUGAUCCCAGUAAUGACCCAAGGAUGCCACCUAGCUCUGCCAUGUUGGUCCUCCAGGGCAUCUUGGACCAUGCUGGUAGGAAGCAAUGCUGUGGAUUCACCUGCGGGAAGAGCAGAGGCAGAAACACAGAACCAGGAAGCAGCUGAUACAGUUUGGGGUGAUUUUCUCAUUUUAAUCCCUUGAGAAGGAAAAACAAAACUCAAUGGUUAUUAGUUCCUCGAAUCUCUUUCCAUCUUGACCUCUCUGCGCUACUCUCUGCCAACUGCCUUGGAAGAAGUAGCAAAACAAACAAACAAACAAACAAACAAAAAUCCCACAGAACUUUAGGAGUUGGUAAUAAACUUUGUCACAUGCAAAA